rnacentral:rRNA from 1 species
CGCGCAGGCGGCGCGUUAAGUCCGGGGUGAAUCCAUCGGCUCAACCGGUGGGGGACCUUGGAUACUGGCGCACUGGAGUGCGGGAGAGGGAAGCGGAAUUCCACGUGUAACGGUGAAAUGUAUAGAUAUGUGGAGGAACACCGGUGGCGAAGGCGGCUUCCUGGACCGUAACUGACGCUGAGGCGCGAAAGCUGGGGGAGCGAACA